GUCGAGCGGUAACAGGGGGUGCUUGCACCCCGCUGACGAGCGGCGGACGGGUGAGUAAUGCUUAGGAAUCUGCCCAGUAGUGGGGGACAACAGUCGGAAACGGCUGCUAAUACCGCAUACGCCCUACGGGGGAAAGGGGGCUCCGGCUCCCGCUAUCGGAUGAGCCUAUGUCGGAUUAGCUGGUUGGUGAGGUAACGGCUCACCAAGGCGACGAUCCGUAGCUGGUCUGAGAGGAUGAUCAGCCACAUCGGGACUGAGACACGGCCCGAACUCCUACGGGAGGCAGCAGUGGGGAAUAUUGGACAAUGGGGGGAACCCUGAUCCAGCCAUGCCGCGUGUGUGAAGAAGGCCCUCGGGUUGUAAAGCACUUUCAGUGAGGAAGAACGCCUGGUGGUUAAUACCCAUCAGGAAAGACAUCACUCACAGAAGAAGCACCGGCUAACUCCGUGCCAGCAGCCGCGGUAAUACGGAGGGUGCGAGCGUUAAUCGGAAUUACUGGGCGUAAAGCGCGCGUAGGUGGUUUGGUAAGCGAGAUGUGAAAGCCCCGGGCUUAACCUGGGAACGGCAUUUCGAACUGUCAGACUAGAGUGUGGUAGAGGGUAGUGGAAUUUCCUGUGUAGCGGUGAAAUGCGUAGAUAUAGGAAGGAACACCAGUGGCGAAGGCGGCUACCUGGACCAACACUGACACUGAGGUGCGAAAGCGUGGGGAGCAAACAGGAUUAGAUACCCUGGUAGUCCACGCCGUAAACGAUGUCAACUAGCCGUUGGGACUCUUGAAGUCUUAGUGCCGCAGCUAACGCACUAAGUUGACCGCCU
rnacentral:rRNA from 1 species